UCAGCAACUCAGAAGUACAACAAAAGCGUUCAUUCGGUUACAAAAAAACUAAGCACUGGACAAGAGAUGGAAACCGGUAAUUAACAACAUACAGACAGUAUUUGAUGUGUUUAUGGCUGGCAGCAACACCAACACCGACGAGUGUACAUGCAGAAUGUCUACAAACUUUCAAUAUAACACCUAUACAAAUGGUACCAGGGGCCUAACCACUCAUGCUGCUGCUCAUCCUAUCCAACCGUAAUAUAAUAUAUAUAAUAUAUAGCAGUCCUGUAAUUAACUCAAACUCGGCUAGAGAUUUCGCUUGCCAAAAUUGUCCUGGUACCAAAAGAAUAUUAACUGGAACAACCGAUGACGCAGAUAUACACCUUGGAAGAUACCUCUCUGGGAUAGAUAUUCAUGAUUCUUCCCUCCCUCUGCGUCAACUCAAAUACUUCACAUCAUCUGUACUCCUCAAAUUCAUACAACAGAGGCUGGUUGACUCAGUAGCUUCCCAUUGGAGGCAUCCCGUAUGCUGGCAUUGGACCAGGACCCAUCGGCGGCAUACCCAUCCCGCCCAUCGGCGGCAUGCCCAUCCCGCCCAUCGGAGGUGGACCGCCCAUCAUGCCGGGCGGAGCAGGCAAGGCCAGAGGAAGCAAUUGAGCGUACAUGUUC
rnacentral:lncRNA from 1 species